rnacentral:rRNA from 1 species
CCUACGGGAGGCAGCAGUGGGGAAUAUUGCACAAUGGGCGAAAGCCUGAUGCAGCGACGCCGCGUGGGGGAUGAAGGCCUUCGGGUUGUAAACCCCUUUCAGUAGGGAACAAGGCCAUGCGUUUGUGUGGUUGAGGGUACUUGCAGAAGAAGCGCCGGCUAACUCCGUGCCAGCAGCCGCGGUAAU